rnacentral:rRNA from 1 species
CAAUAGCGUAUAUUAAAGUUGUUGCAGUUAAAAAGCUCGUAGUUGGAUUUCUGGUAGGAGUGACCGUUCCGAACUUGAUUGUUCGUGUAUUGUGUUUUCUCCAGCCAUCCUUGUGGAGAACUUUUCUUGCAUUAAUUUGUAGGGAUUGGGACCCGCAUCGUUUACUGUGAAAAAAUUAGAGUGUUUAAAGCAGGCAAUCGCUUGGAUACAUUAGCAUGGAAUAAUAAGAUAGGACUUUGGUAAUAUUUUGUUGGUUUGCAUACCAAAUUAAUGAUCAACAGGAACAGUUUGAGGAUAUUCGUAUGAACAUGUCAGAGGUGAAAUUCUUGGAUUUUGAUCAGACGAACUACUGCGAAAGCAUUUAUCAAGGAUGUUUUCAUUAA